CUUACCUGUUGUGUUCUUGACCUGGCUCUCUCUUUUCUGACUCUUUCUUGCCUCAGGUUUUUAUCUUUAGUUUUUUAACUCUGGUUUGGCAUCUGGAUUCUGUUUGAAACCUCAGCCAGAGGCACCUGGGGCCCCUCCUCCUGACAUUUGGGUAAAACGAAGCAAAGGCUAAAAACCAUAUAGGACUUUCAGCAACUUGGACAUAGAUUCCACUUUCUUGCCUGUUAGGCCUUUACCUCUGUGUUUCUUUCUCUCAGUGUUUUUUACAUGGUCUCUACGUAGCUAUUUUCAAUAGCUGUUUUAUACGCAACCUUUCCAUUCCAAGACGUUUCAAAACGUUCCUUCCUGUUUGCAAACGAGUUUUUCUUACAAGUGGGUUAGUGCCACCGUGCUGACUCUCUUUUAACAAUAAGAUUUCUUGUUUUCCCCACAUUUUUCAAAACCUGAGAAUUAAAUUUCCAGGAAUGCCAAACCGCUGCAUUUCAUCUUGACUAAUUUGUCACACGGGCAGGCCUCCUGCUGCCAAAUCAGCAUGAGUUUAAGCUUUUUUUGUUGUUGUUGUUGAAAGAAAAAGAGAGCAGUAUGAUUCUCUGGCAGACAUUCACAUUACUUUCCCAGCAAUCUGAUAAAAUCCCAUCCCUGCAUUCCCCAAAAGCCAACCUUGAGCUAAACUUUCAACUUUUUUUUUUUUUUUGAAAGGGGCUUAAAUAAAUGCACUCAACAAUUUUGGAGAACAGAUCUCUCUCUCUAGGCAAGGCAGGCUGGGCUGCAUUCCUGCAUUUCUCAUGCUGCAGAGGGAAAAGUUCACGAAUGUAAGGGCAUGCUUUUCUAAAGUUAUCUGCGAAGGGAAAGGGAUAAUUACGUCUGUGUGAUUCAAACCUGGGCACCAUCCAGGUUCCCCCAAUUCGCUGAAAGAACAGUGCCUUCUAUUGUGUCUUGGAAAAUUCCAGGAAAAUUUGCUUCUCUCCUCAGUGUGAAUAACAGCACGGUCCAGCCAGCUUCUUCUCGGUUCACAAGAGGCCCACGUGAGGACAGAGACGUUACGAGAAGAACAGCGCCAGGGGACGAAAAGGGAGCCAUGAUAACGUUUAAAAGCAACGGAUGACCCAUCUGUGAAUGCUCCUCAAGAAACCAGUCAAGAUAGGAGGUGAAUCUACGUGCUGGCAGCUGUCGAGAUUGGUUGGAGGGAAGUCUUCAAGACAUCAUGAGUACCUGGGGUCCUGGCAGUGGAGACGAGGCCUCCUAAUCAUGGAAUCCCACAUUAUCCGUGACUGGAGGUAAAGGCUGACAUGAUGUGCAUCAUCUUGUCUGAACAUUUGGCUUUGGGUGGAACUGAGCAUUUCCACUGAGGGAAGCCUGGCUUCAUCACAACCUGCGAAUUAAUAGUUUAACUAACUGAACGCUGAAUUCAACUCAUUGGACAUGUAACCAGACUACGUCUAAACUUUUGCUGCCAACGCCAAUAGUUCUCUGCAGGGGUGGUUUUAUGCGAGCACAGAUGGCUUUAUGAGGUUUCAGCUCUCUUGGGAUUCAUGAAGGAGGUGCUCUAGAAGGAGGUAACAAGGCACUUGAAAGUGUAUAGAAGUUCUCUACAUCUAGUGCUCACAUGAAAAUGGAGUCUUGAGUCUUGAGGCUGUACAAUGUAUUAUAACUCGUGCUACGGUUGAAUUAGAAUUAUGUUCCAAAAGCAAACCGUCGUGAGGAUGCAGUAAGGGGUUCCCUUGCUGCAACAAUAUUAAUAUGCAGAAGUAUAACGAAAAGACUGGUAAAGUUUAGUUUAAUCUACAAUGAGACAUUAGCACAAAACUUAGGUCAGCAGGAACAUGGAGACAGAGGAGCCUCAGGUAUUGGCUUUCCUGCCUAAUGGCUGUGUGAUUUUAGACAGCUUAUUUAAAAUGCCUUCCCCACUUUUUUGAAAAGAGUACCCUCCUCUCCAUUUAUUUAUAUUUUAUUUGCUUUCUUUCUACACUGUGUCAUAGUUUUCUGGACAUAGAUUUGUACGUACUUUGCUGGAUUUAUAACUAAAUAUUCCAAUUUUGGGUGCUAUUGUAAGUGGUAUUUUAAAAAAUUUCAAUUCUGGUUGCUCGUGGCUGGCAUAGAGGAAAUCCA